rnacentral:rRNA from 1 species
AUUGAACGCUGGCGGCAGGCCUAACACAUGCAAGUCGAGCGGAUGAAGAGAGCUUGCUCUCUGAUUCAGCGGCGGACGGGUGAGUAAUGCCUAGGACUCUGCCUGGUAGUGGGGGACAACGUUUCGAAAGGAACGCUAAUACCGCAUACGUCCUACGGGAGAAAGCAGGGGACCUUCGGGCCUUGCGCUAUCAGAUGAGCCUAGGUCGGAUUAGCUAGUUGGUGAGGUAAUGGCUCACCAAGGCGACGAUCCGUAACUGGUCUGAGAGGAUGAUCAGUCACACUGGAACGGAGACACGGUGCAGACUCCUACGGGAGGAAGCAGUGGGGAAUAUUGGACAAUGUGCGAAAGCCUGAUCCAGCCAUGCCGCGUGUGUGAAGAAGGUCUUCGGAUUGUAAAGCACUUUAAGUUGGGAGGAAGGGCAGUAAGUUAAUACCUUGCUGUUUUGACGUUACCGACAGAAGAAGCACCGGCUAACUCUGUGCCAGCCGCCGCGGUAAUAC